rnacentral:rRNA from 1 species
GACGAACGCUGGCGGCGUGCUUAACACAUGCAAGUCGAACGGAAAGGCCCUGCUUUUGUGGGGUGCUCGAGUGGCGAACGGGUGAGUAACACGUGAGUAACCUGCCCUUGACUUUGGGAUAACUUCAGGAAACUGGGGCUAAUACCGGAUAGGAGCUCCUGCUGCAUGGUGGGGGUUGGAAAGUUUCGGCGGUUGGGGAUGGACUCGCGGCUUAUCAGCUUGUUGGUGGGGUAGUGGCUUACCAAGGCUUUGACGGGUAGCCGGCCUGAGAGGGUGACCGGCCACAUUGGGACUGAGGUACGGCCCAGACUGCUACGGGAGGCAACAGUGGGGAAUAUUGCACAAUGGGCGGGAGCCUGAUGCAGCAACGCCGGGGGCGGGAAGACGGCCUUCGGGGUGUAAACCGCUUUCGCCUGUGACGAAGCGGGAGUGACGGUAAUGGGUAAAGAAGCACCGGCUAACUACGUG